rnacentral:rRNA from 1 species
UAAGAUUUGAUCAUGGCUCAGAUUGAACGCUGGCGGCGUGCUUAACACAUGCAAGUCGAGCGGUAACAGGCGUAGCAAUACGUGCUGACGAGCGGCGAACGGGUGCGUAAUACAUGGGAAUCUGCCCUUUGGUGGGGAAUAACCCGGCGAAAGCCGGGCUAAUGCCGCAUGAGAUCUUCGGAUGAAAGCGGGGGAUCGUAAGACCUCGCGCCGAUGGAUGAGCCCAUGUCGGAUUAGCUAGUUGGUGAGGUAACGGCUCACCAAGGCGACGAUCCGUAGCUGGUCUGAGAGGACGGCCAGCCACACUGGGACUGAGACACGGCCCAGACUCCUACGGGAGGCAGCAGUGGGGAAUUUUGGACAAUGGGGGCAACCCUGAUCCAGCCAUUCCGCGUGAGUGAAGAAGGCCUUCGGGUUGUAAAGCUCUUUCGGACGGAACGAAACGGUUAGGACCAAUACUCCUGACUAAUGACGGUACCGUAAGAAGAAGCCCCGGCUAACUCCGUGCCAGCCGCCGCGGUAAUAC